CUCGACAACGGAUAUCUCGGCUCUCGCAUCGAUGAAGAACGUAGUGAAAUGCGAUACUUGGCGUGAAUUGCAGAAUCCCGUGAACCAUCGAGUUUUUGAACGCAAGUUGCGCCCGAAGCCUUCUGGCCGAGGGCACGUCUGCCUGGGCGUCACG
rnacentral:rRNA from 1 species